rnacentral:snRNA from 1 species
GUGCUCAGCAGCAGCACAUCCACUAAAACAGAACAGAGAAGGUUAGCAUGGACCCUACCAAAGAUAACAUGCAAAUCCAUGAAAUGUUCCAUAUUUAA